UUCGCCCUUAGAGUUUGAUCCUGGCUCAGGACGAACGCUGGCGGCGCGCCUAACACAUGCAAGUCGAACGGAGCUUAGAGAGCUUGCUUUUUAAGCUUAGUGGCGAACGGGUGAGUAACGCGUGAGUAACCUGCCCUAGAGUGGGGGACAACAGUUGGAAACGACUGCUAAUACCGCAUAAGCCCACGGUACCGCAUGGUACUGAGGGAAAAGGAUUUAUUCGCUUUAGGAUGGACUCGCGUCCAAUUAGCUAGUUGGUGAGGUAACGGCCCACCAAGGCGACGAUUGGUAGCCGGACUGAGAGGUUGAACGGCCACAUUGGGACUGAGACACGGCCCAGACUCCUACGGGAGGCAGCAGUGGGGGAUAUUGCACAAUGGGGGAAACCCUGAUGCAGCGACGCCGCGUGGAGGAAGAAGGUUUUCGGAUUGUAAACUCCUGUCGUUAGGGACGAUAAUGACGGUACCUGACUAAGAAGCCCCGGCUAACUACGUGCCAGCAGCCGCGGUAAAACGUAGGGUGCAAGCGUUGUCCGGAAUUACUGGGUGUAAAGGGAGCGCAGGCGGACCGGCAAGUUGGAAGUGAAAACCAUGGGCUCAACCCGUGAAUUGCUUUCAAAACUGCUGGCCUUGAGUAGUGCAGAGGUAGGUGGAAUUCCCGGUGUAGCGGUGGAAUGCGUAGAUAUCGGGAGGAACACCAGUGGCGAAGGCGACCUACUGGGCACCAACUGACGCUGAGGCUCGAAAGCAUGGGUAGCAAACAGGAUUAGAUACCCUGGUAGUCCAUGCCGUAAACGAUGAUUACUAGGUGUUGGAGGAUUGACCCCUUCAGUGCCGCAGUUAACACAAUAAGUAAUCCACCUGGGGAGUACGACCGCAAGGUUGAAACUCAAAGGAAUUGACGGGGGCCCGCACAAGCAGUGGAGUAUGUGGUUUAAUUCGAAGCAACGCGAAGAACCUUACCAGGUCUUGACAUCCGAUGCAUAGUGCAGAGAUGCAUGAAGUCCUUCGGGACAUCGAGACAGGUGGUGCAUGGUUGUCGUCAGCUCGUGUCGUGAGAUGUUGGGUUAAGUCCCGCAACGAGCGCAACCCCUAUCUUUAGUAGCCAGCAUUUAAGGUGGGCACUCUAGAGAGACUGCCAGGGAUAACCUGGAGGAAGGUGGGGAUGACGUCAAAUCAUCAUGCCCCUUAUGAUUUGGGCUACACACGUGCUACAAUGGUGAUAACAAAGUGAAGCGAACCCGCGAGGGAGAGCGAACCACAAAAAAAUCAUCUCAGUUCGGAUUGUAGUCUGCAACUCGACUACAUGAAGCUGGAAUCGCUAGUAAUCGCGAAUCAGAAUGUCGCGGUGAAUACGUUCCCGGGUCUUGCACACACCGCCCGUCA
rnacentral:rRNA from 1 species